rnacentral:lncRNA from 1 species
GUUAAAAUUUAAAUAAAAAUGUUAAAUUAGAAAAUAAAAUAUGAAUAGGUUCAUAAUAAUUAGCCAUAACGAAAAGGAACUUCGAAUGAGUUCCAGGUUUAAACUGUGGAAAACUUCCUCACCCAGUAUUCCUUUUAAAAUAAUGAGUUCUGGGACAGGGAAACACACAGUCAGAUACUUAGAGAAACAGCAAAGAAAGAGAAAAGAAAAAAAGCAGUUUUAUAGAAGUGAAAGCAGAAGACAGCAAAAAUGUAAGUGUAAUGACAGGAACACAACUCAUCCUGUCGGGGCAACUGAUGGAGAUGAUAGAUGACUAUGAUGACAACAAUAGUUACUACUAUGAUGGUGAUGGUUGAUAAAGACACUGAACUUAAAGAUCAGUGACAAGUAUAAACUGUGCACAAUGGACUUAUGGACAAAUAGACAUUUAGUGUUUAAUUAGCAGUGCAUGGAUUACAUUCAAAAAUGGAUUAUUGAAUAUAAGGCAAACUCUCUCUCUCUCAGGUAUGGAAGAAAGUUUGUAGAACUCACACUCUCUCUCCCAAAAAUAUAUUCAUUGUAAAGUUAGCUUUAAGUAUAUAUAGUUGCUUCACAUAAUAUGUUAUUGUUAUCGCUUCAUUCCAUUUUAUAUUUUUAUUUAAAUAAAUAUUAGUUAUUGUUUAAAAUAAGUUUAGUUGAGUCAACCAUUCAAUCUUGGACCUCAGCAUCACAAAUCUAGAUGCCGAUAAAUAACAUGACUAAUCCUGACGAUAACACCAUCCCCACAAUCCUCACACUUGUAUCAGGAAUGGCAUAGUGAAAAUUGAGGAUCUGCAGAGGAUACCGAGUUGAAUAAGAUCAUGUCAACACUUGAACUGAGGAUAGGAUUGGAGAAUUGACUCGUAGAUUAAGUUAGGUAUAAGUUAGUUGUAG